AUCGCUUCUUGGCCUUUUGGCUAAGAUCAAGUGUAGUAUCUGCUCUGUCUUAAUGUGCACUCUGCUUCGAUAGGUAUGGGGUUUUUGCUUUUUGUUUUGGUUGGGGAGAAAGAGGGGUGAGAGUCGGUAACUUGA
ensembl:snRNA U2 U2 spliceosomal RNA